rnacentral:rRNA from 1 species
CAUGCAAGUCGAGCGCUCUCUUCGGAGGGAGCGGCGGACGGGUGAGUAACGCGUGGGAACGUGCCCUUCUCUAUGGAAUAGCCACUGGAAACGGUGAGUAGUACCAUAUACGCCCUUCGGGGGAAAGAUUUAUCGGAGAAGGAUCGGCCCGCGUUAGAUUAGGUAGUUGGUGGGGUAAUGGCCUACCAAGCCUACGAUCUAUAGCUGGUUUUAGAGGAUGAUCAGCCACACUGGGACUGAGACACGGCCCAGACUCCUACGGGAGGCAGCAGUGGGGAAUCUUAGACAAUGGGCGCAAGCCUGAUCUAGCCAUGCCGCGUGAGUGAUGAAGGCCUUAGGGUCGUAAAGCUCUUUCGCCAGAGAUGAUAAUGACAGUAUCUGGUAAAGAAACCCCGGCUAACUCCGUGCCAGCAGCCGCGGUAAUACGGAGGGGGUUAGCGUUGUUCGGAAUUACUGGGCGUAAAGCGCACGUAGGCGGAUUAGAAAGUUAGGGGUGAAAUCCCGGGGCUCAACCUCGGAACUGCCUCUAAAACUCCUAGUCUAGAGUUCGAGAGAGGUGAGUGGAAUUCCAAGUGUAGAGGUGAAAUUCGUAGAUAUUUGGAGGAACACCAGUGGCGAAGGCGGCUCACUGGCUCGAUACUGACGCUGAGGUGCGAAAGUGUGGGGAGCAAACAGGAUUAGAUACCCUGGUAGUCCACACCGUAAACGAUGAAUGCCAGUCGUCGGGUAGUAUACUGCUCGGUGACACACCUAACGGAUUAAGCAUUCCGCCUGGGGAGUACGGUCGCAAGAUUAAAACUCAAAGGAAUUGAUGGGGCCCGCACAAGCGGUGGAGCAUGUGGUUUAAUUCGAAGCAACGCGCAGAACCUUACCAACCCUUGACAUUUGUCGCCACCUCCAGAAGA